rnacentral:rRNA from 1 species
GACGAACGCUGGCGGCGUGCUUAACACAUGCAAGUCGAACGGAAAGGCCUGCUUUCCCUUGUGGAUUGCGGGUACUCGAGUGGCGAACGGGUGAGUAACACGUGAGUGAUCUGCCCCCAACUUGGGUAUAAGCCUGGGAAACUGGGUCUAAUUCCCGAUAGGACUGCAGGGUGGUGCCUGUGGUGGAAAACGAUUUUCUAGUGGUUGGGGAUGAGCUCGCGGCCUAUCAGCUUGUUGGUGGGGUAAUGGCCUACCAAGGCGGCGACGGGUAGCCGGCCUGAGAGGGUGGACGGCCACAUUGGGACUGGGAUACGGCCCAGACUCCUACGGGAGGCAGCAGUGGGGAAUAUUGCACAAUGGGCGGAAGCCUGAUGCAGUGACGCCGCGUGGGGGAUGACGGCCUUCGGGUUGUAAACUCCUUUCGACCGCGAGGAAGCCACCUGGUUGGAAGGGUGGUGACGGUAGUGGUAGAAGAAGCACCGGCUAACUACGUG